rnacentral:rRNA from 1 species
AGCGUAUAUUAAAGUUGUUGCAGUUAAAAAGCUCGUAGUUGGAUUUGUGGUGUGUCCAGUUGGCCUUUGCUCUUUGAGUGAUAGUGCUUUACUGGUCUGCCAUGUUUGGGUGGAAUCUGUGUGGCAUUAAGUUGUCGUGCAGGGGAUGCCCAUCGUUUACUGUGAAAAAAUUAGAGUGUUCAAAGCAGGCUUAUGCCUCUGAAUAUAUUAGCAUGGAAUAAUGAUAUAGGACCUUGGUACUAUUUUGUUGGUUUGCGCACUGAGGUAAUGAUUAAGAGGGACAGUUGGGGGUAUUUGUAUUCCAUUGUCAGAGGUGAAAUUCUUGGAUUUUUGGAAGACAAACUACUGCGAAAGCAUUUACCAAGGAUGUUUUCAUUAAUCAAGAACGAAAGUUAGGGGAUCGAAGAUGAUUAGAUA